CCUACGGGAGGCAGCAGUGAGGAAUAUUGGUCAAUGGGCGGAAGCCUGACCCAGCAACGCCGCGUGAAGGAAGAAGGCUUUCGGGUUGUAAACUUCUUUUGUCAGGGAAGAGUAGAAGACGGUACCUGACGAAUAAGCCACGGCUAACUACGUGCCAGCAGCCGCGGUAAUACGUAGGUGGCCAGCGUUGUCCGGAUUUACUGGGUGUAAAGGGCGUGUAGCCGGGUUGACAAGUCAGAUGUGAAAUCCUGCGGCUUAACCGCAGAACUGCAUUUGAAACUGUUGAUCUUGAGUACUGGAGAGGCAGACGGAAUUCGUAGUGUAGCGGUGAAAUGCGUAGAUAUUAGGAGGAACACCGGUGGCGAAGGCGGUCUGCGGGACAGCAACUGACGGUGAGGCGCGAAGGCGUGGGGAGCAAACAGGAUUAGAUACCCCAGUAGUC
rnacentral:rRNA from 1 species